AUUGAACGCUGGCGGCAGGCCUAACACAUGCAAGUCGAGCGAGAGGCGGAGGGGUGAGUAAUGUAUGGGGACUGCCCGAUAGAGGGGGAUAACAACAGGAAACGGUAGCUAAUACCGCAUACUAUCGGAUAACCCAUAUGGGAUUGGCUAGUGGGUGGGGUAAUGGCUCACCUAGGCGACGAUCCCUAGCUGGUCUGAGAGGAUGAUCAGCCACACUGGGACUGAGACACGGCCCAGACUCCGACGGAGGCAGCAGUGGGGAAUAUUGCCCAAUGGGCGCAAGCCUGAUGCAGCCAUGCCGCGUGUAUGAAGAAGGCCCUAGGGUUGUAAAGUACUUUCAGUCGGGAGGCGUUACCGACAGAAGAAGCACCGGCUAACUCCGUGCCAGCAGCCGCGGUAAUAC
rnacentral:rRNA from 1 species